ensembl:lncRNA
CACACUCGGUGGCACGCGCACACACAUAAGAUACAUCAAUAAAUAAAGGGACAUUGAAGCCAUUUCCUCAUACAUUUUUUUUUAAUAUUUCCAUCACAUGUGCAACACAAAAAAAUGAGCUUUGCGAAAUGCAGAGCUCCAUAUUUGUACAAUACGUUUGAACAACAUCAGAGAGCACUGUCCGCCAGGAGAUGUUGGCUUCCUGCACGCCCAAUAGGAACAAUUCUCAGUCAAAAGGUCAAAACAUUGAAAGUUGUCUUUUUUUUUUUAUUUAUACAAAAGUGCAUCUCAGAUUCAACGAAUGCAAAACAUUUACAUUUUAACUGAAUGAUUUAGAGCUGUACGUUAACGCUGCGACGGCUUCCAGCUUGAGAACAGCAAUAGGACACUGCAAAUAAAAUAAACAGAUUCAAAAUAAUAAAAUAAAAUACCCACCAAAGUUUUACUUGAGCAGUCCUCCAGAGUCUAGAGGAACCGCCAGUGGAGUUUUAUAACCCACAACCCCCCCCCCUGAGAGGGGGGGCUCGGGGACACCACAUUUGUGUACAUAUCUCACAAUCCCAAAUUCAAACGGAAAGACUCCCGAUCGCGAGAAAUUAUAACAAGAUAAUGAAAAAAAAAAACGGAAAAAGAGAGAAAAGGAACCCCCAAAAAUAAACAAAAAAACUCAACACAGAUUCCAGUAAUCUCCAGGCUUUCACGAAGCGGUAAACAUUAACAACAGAAAUGUACAGGUUGAGCUCACGUCGGUCCCCACAACUCUAGGAGACACAUGGGUCGGGGUGUGUGUGUGUGUGUGUGUGUGGAGGGGGGGGGGGCUCGCGCCUCUGUUCAUCAGCCAACAAGAGGAGCCAUCCUUCCAUCAACACCCCCUUUCUUUUUCCAAAUCUGUGUCACUGCGUUUGCAUAUAUCAAAAUGCCCCCCCCCCCCCUGUCUUUCCACUGAUCUCUGUGUAGUUCUCCCGUCCCUCUCAUCUCUCUGAACACCAUGUACUCACAAGCGGGCCGGAUUAGCCACGCCGUCCGACCUCAGCUGGUCCUCUGGCGGAAAUGUUGGGAGGGGGCACGCUUGCACGCAUGUACACCCACACACACACACGCCCUCACGCACGCAUCGCACUCACUCGCACGCACGCACGCACGCACACAAACACACACACACGCACGCCUACCCAGCAAGUCGUCAGCCCUCUCUAAUGAUUAACCAGGUCAGGAUAUAGCGUCAGUCAGGGGGGGGGUUGGGGACGGGGGGGGGCAAUAGACGUGUGUGGCUGGAUUUCAAGCAUUUCCAGCAGCACCUUACACACUGGGUGGCACCCCACCCUGCUCGUCCUUCCACGCUGACGGAUGAGUCCCCUCUGAUUGACAACGGCAUUGAUCGCAUAUUUUCUCUUUCUCUCUCUCUUUCUCUCUAUCUCUCUCUUUCUCUCUCUCUUUCUCUCUCUCUCUCUCUCUCUCUCUCUCUCUCUCUCUCUCUCUCUCUCUGUCUCUCUCUCUCUCUGUCGUCUAUUUUUCGAUUCUUUUUAAGGACAGAUUUUCCUUUUUUUUUUUUUUGUAACUGUACAUUGGCAAAUACUGUAUAAGAUUGCAAUAUAGCUGUAGUUAAGCAACACAUGAGGAGGAAGUCUAUGUACAAACAAGUUUGGCCGUGGUCGUCGUCUUUUGCGAAAUCAUAUUUCGUUUUGAGGACAGGACAUUGUUUCUCUCUCUCCCUCGUUCUUUUCACUCGUCGAAGGUUCAUGGCGGGGUAGUGCCGGUGGGAAGCCGGCCGGCGGUAAUUGGCGGUCAGGCCUUUGUGUGUGUGUGUGUGUGUGUGUGUGUGGGGUAUAUAUGUGUGUGUGCGUGUGUAUGUCUCUGUCUCCCCCGUGCGUGGCGCCCGCGUGGUUCCCGCUCUUUUUUUUCCUCCUUCCCCCGGCCGCGGCGCUGAUCUGUCUGCCACGUUAGCUGCUGUGUUG